UACGGGGGGUGCGAGCGUUGUCCGGCAUCACUGGGCGUAAAGGGCGCGUAGGUGGUUUGAUAAGGGUGUGGUGAAAGUCCGGGGCUCAACCCCGGAUCUGCCGUGCCGACUGUCAAACUCGAGGGCUGUAGAGGCAGACGGAAUUCCGGGUGUAGCGGUGGAAUGCGUAGAGAUCCGGAGGAAGACCGGUGGCGAAGGCGGUCUGCUGGGCAGUUUCUGACACUGAUGCGCGACAGCGUGGGGAGCAAACAGG
rnacentral:rRNA from 1 species